rnacentral:rRNA from 1 species
GUGUAGCAGCCGCGGUAACACGUAGGGGACGAGCGUUGUCCGGAAUUACUGGGCGUAAAGGGCACGCAGGCGGUACGCCAAGUCGGGGGUGUAAAGUUACGGCUCAACCGUGACCUUGCAAUCGAUACUGGCGUACUGGAGUGCGGGAGAGGGAAGUGGGAUUCCCGGUGUAGCGGUGAAAUGCGUAGAUAUCGGGAGGAACGCCAGUGGCGAAGGCGGCUUCCUGGCCCGCGACUGACGCUCAUGUGCGAAAGCCAGGGGAGCGAACCGGAUUAGAUACCCGGGUAGUCCUGGCCGUAAACGAUGGGUGCUAGGUGUAGGCGCGUCAAGCGUCUGUGCCGAAGUUAACGCGAUAAGCACCUCGCCUGGGGAGUACGGUCGCAAGGCUGAAACUUAAAUGAAUUGGCGG